GAAUACCCAUUUGCCUAACUAUAAAUCAGAAUAAAAUUUCAUUGGUGCAACAUCGAAGUGUCGGUGCCGAAACACUUUUUCGAUUCCGUUCAAGCUUCGGUGACAUGGUAAGAAGCAUAAAAAAUCUGAAAUUGACGCAAUUUUUUUACCCUUUUUCAUCAGUUUUACAGACGCAAGCCUUAACCGCCUCCACAAGUUUUUUUUCACCAUGUCAUUGGUGCUGAGUUUUUUACCGGAGCUUAAAUCGAUGGACUACGG
rnacentral:lncRNA from 1 species